GGGGGGGGGGGGGGGGGGGCGGGGGGGGGGGGGGUCGGGCGGGGAGGGGGGGAGCUGGCUCGUCUGGCGUGAGCGGCGGGGGGGUGAGUAACACGUGGAUCACCUACCUCUAAGACUGGGAUAACUUCGGGAAACCGGAGCUCAUCCCGGAUAAUAUAUUGAACCGCAUGGUUCAAUAGUGAAAGACGGUUUUGCUGUCACUUAUAGAUGGAUCCGCGCCGCAUUAGCUAGUUGGUAAGGUAACGGCUUACCAAGGCAACGAUGCGUAGCCGACCUGAGAGGGUGAUCGGCCACACGGGAACUGAGACACGGUCCAGACUCCUAAGGGAGGCAGCAGUAGGGAAUCUUCCGCAAUGGGCGAAAGCUUGACGGAGCAACGGCGCGUGAGUGAUGAAGGUCUUCGGAUCGUAAAACUCUGUUAUUAGGGAAGAACAAAUGUGUAAGUAACUAUGCACGUCUUGACGGUACCUAAUCAGAAAGCCACGGCUAACUACGUG
rnacentral:rRNA from 1 species